rnacentral:rRNA from 1 species
CACGUAGGGCGCGAGCGUUGUCCGGAAUUAUUGGGCGUAAAGAGCUCGUAGGCGGCUUGUCGCGUCGGCUGUGAAAACCCGAGGCUCAACCUCGGGCCUGCAGUGGGUACGGGCAGACUAGAGUGCGGUAGGGGAGAUUGGAAUUCCUGGUGUAGCGGUGGAAUGCGCAGAUAUCAGGAGGAACACCGGUGGCGAAGGCGGGUCUCUGGGCAGUAACUGACGCUGAGGAGCGAAAGCGUGGGGAGCGAACAGG